AGAGAUGGAGACUAACGUCUUCCAAGGGAGAUUGCGUCUCCACUUUCACCCUGGUACUGAGAGGUUGAGCACAAAAUUGGUAACCAAUGCUGCGCUUCCAGCAAAUUUUCCCACCAGCACCCAAUCCUGGGAUAUUUAUUCUCUUUGUCUCACAUCCUACAGGAACGCAGUCGCGGGGUAUAUCCCCCUGAAAACCGUACGUUGCCAAAUAAUGAUUUCUUUGGAUUAGAGAACUACAACUCCCCUGGGUCCUGAGCCGGUAUUUCCCUUUUGCGGCUGCACCGUAGUUAAAAACAAAGCUAAGUGUUCUGGGACGUAUAGUUCUAGCGUUCCUUGGGUCCCGCUGGCGAGCGUGGGCUUUCUGCAGCUCGCAACCGGCCUCGUGCUUUGCGGACGGUUCACUGCGCUUGGAAAGGGGUGAGUCGGCUUUUUGAGGGACAGCAAGUGGUGAGAGUGAAGGCCCGAGGAAUGCUUAGUCCCACGGGACGAAAGGAAGCAGGGAUGAAGUGGUACACUUGAGAAGGGGUUCAGGACUUUGGAGGUGGUGGAACAGAGGAGCUUGGGGCUUCCUCUCCUUCGACUCCUGCCAGAUAAGUGAGGCUAGCAGUAGUCAAGAAAGCUCAUUAAGUAGGAUUUCAUAAGACUUAGGUCGAGUUUGGCUUUUAGUUGUGCCUGCCGCCUAUCGAACUCUUAAUUCAUUAUGUCAUCCGUUAAGUGGACAGCUGACAUUUCCCUGAUCUUUUAUAAAACAUGAGAAUAAGUAUCUUUGGGAAAUCUUUCUAUUUUCAUUAAUCUGUAACUUAUAUUCCAAGUAGAAACUUUCCCUGAAGGGGCAGCUUGUAGUUGUUUACUAGUUUCCUGCUAGCCCUCCCACCACCAUCCACUCUGAUAGCUGUGCUAAGUUCAUUCAUAUAAAAGUUCUGGAGCCAUCACUGUUUUCUCCUAUGAAGGACACAAGCUGUAGUCUUUUCGCUGGGAGAGGCUCCCAUCUGCCUUUCUCUGUAAUAAUGGAGAGAACGCCAUAGUGAAAGGGUUAAAACUCAGCAAACUGCUGAAGAGUGACAAGCCCUAUCAUUUAACUGUGAAAUUGCUUGUUAUUCUGUCUUACAAAGGGAGACGUGUUGUUGAGCUGAUUGUCGUAGACAGUUUUUAUUCUCACUUAUCUGUGUGUCUCCUUUGAAAAUGGAACUUGAAAUUCUACCCUCCUCAGUUUUCUGUUUUUAAUUUGAAAAACAGCCAACAUCCCCUGUGAAUUGCAGUAAAGGAACAAAGCAUUAAAAGGCAUAUCCUUUUCCCAACAAAAGCUCACAGUCUAAUCAGUAAAGAUUUAUUGAGCAACUAUGCCAGGUUUUGAGCUGAGGCUGAGCCUGCAAAGUUGAAAUCUGUGUUCUCUGACCUCAAGGAACAUGAAUGAAUAAUUAGAAUAUAAUAAAACUGUGCUAGUAGGUACAAAAUGUGAGAGCCCAGAACAUGCAUAUAAAGGAAACAUAUCUGUAAACUUCAAGGAAGACUGGGAAAUGGCUUAAUAAAAAUAGAUACAAUGUUAUGGCAGAUAUUUAAAAAAGAUGCUCAGAUAUUAUGUGUCAAGGAUCAUCAGCAAUCAGCAAAUCAUUAAUUUUGAGAACUUGGGAUCACAGACUCUAAUGUUAAGUAUUGUGCUAGAAGCCAUGUACAGAGAAGUAAAAGUAAGAUGAUCAUACGUUUACAAUCUCAAAAUAAGCUUACGUAGACAAAUAAGAAUGUUCCUAAGAGGUCAGUGAGACCAAAUAUUUGAUAUCAGAUCCUUUCCAACAAUAUAGAGGCAUCAUAUUUGUAGAUAUAAAUUACAGUUUUCAUUCCUUAUGAGCCUAAAUUUCAGCAUCAAAAUGUUAAAAGUGAUAUGUGAAUACAGAUAUCACAGUGUAAACCACGAUUAAUUUUCAAAUGAGUUGUAGAAUUAAAAUAUGUCAAGUAUUUAGAGGAAGGGAAGAUCACUGACAGAGUAGACUGGAAAGACUUUAUAAUCAGGAGCUUGACCUGUGAAGGACAGAUAGAUAGAAUUUAUUGAGAACUUACCAAGCUCUUUACAUCUAAUUCAUAUUUGUUCUUUAUAACCCUGAGAGGCAGAUUUUUGUCUUACAUCUCCAUUUUAUAGAUGAGAAAGCUGACAGAAGUUACUUGCCCUGAGUCACACACCUAGGAAGUGGUAGAAUUAGAUUUCAGAUCUAGCUCUGUCAGACUGUAAAGACCAUCCUUUGAACUCUAAAUGGUAUAAAAGACAUACAGAGGAAAUGCCAGGCAUCCUCAGUGGCUUAAAUACGACAUCACAGUAAACUCAGGCUAGACCAGGGAUGACACAUAAAAGAUGAUAGUUUUCAUUUGUGUUGCCAUCAGCCUCCUCUAUAAAUAAACCCAGAGUAACCACAAAUUGCCAUCCUGAGGGGUUCAACAGGGAAUAGUCUCAUAAUGGAUUUAGAGUGAAGGAUGAUUGGCAUUGUUAGUCAGGCAAGCAGAGGGCUGAGCAGUCAAAUAACAGAAUUUCAGAACAAAAGAUUAGAGGGCAGAAAUGCUGUAUGUGCUGAUAGAGUCAGAGAGGGCCCGGAUCAAGAAACUGCAGGAAGAGAAAACUAGAAACCUAGAAUCGUCUAGAAAACUAGAACCUACAAUCGUCUCAGAACACAAAGGAGGCUUGAGGACUGAGCAGACUGACAUAGAUGUACUUGGACAACACCUCACCAAGGAGCAUGUCUCUUCCCACUCACAAUCCCCAAUACGAGAUUCACAGUGGUUCACGCUGAGUCCACAGGAAAAAUUGGCCUGGGGUACAUCAUCUAAAGAUCCUAGGAUUGCUGCAGGUCAGCAGUCUCCACUGGAAAAAAAGAUCUUGAAUCUAGGUGGUGUGCAUACAACAGCAGCAAGACAGUUGAUAAUGCAGAAAUAUCAGGAGGAGUGUGAAAUACUCUGUAGGGAGCAAGCUGUUUCUCUUGACUACUGGCUUGCCAAAGCAGAGUCUUAUUAUAAUAAAAUAAUAGUGGAAAUGAUGAAAGAAGAGACAGGCAAUGAAAUCUAGAAAAAAAUGGAGGAGAAAACAACCCAGAGCGUAGAAGGACUAAAACAGUACUGUUUGGUACCUGAGAGAGAGAUGAAACACAUAGAAAGGCACAUACAUCAAACAGGAAAGGCUGGAGAAUUUAAGAACAAACCAUUUAGACAAGUACUACAACCCCCCAAUGAAACAAAAUUACCAAAAAUUAUGCCAGAAGGGCAUGGCAUCCAGAACGCACAGAGAAGAAAGCAGGUAAAUGAGAGGGAACAGAUGCAGACUAAGGAUCACCAGGAACGCAUGAUUCGAGGGAGAGAACUUGCAGAACAAAGACUCAAGGAGAGAAUCUUGAGAAGAAGCCAGAGCCAGCUACUUACAUAUGAGAAGCAUGAGAGAGUAAAAGAGAUAAAGGAGUUUGAAAGAGUUAUUGCGUAUCUUCUUUUCCAACCAUGCAGUAGAAGUCGGAUUAAAGUGAGUAUUCUUAUGGAUAAGUCUCAGAAUGGAGAGAAGGUGAAUACAAUUGUGAAACCAUAUCAAAGAAAAUUCUUGGCAAUGCCACCCUUUUUAAGAAGUCAAAUAGGAAAAAUAAGAGAUUAAAGUUUCAAUGCUGUUAUGAUAAAAUCAUAUCUCUUAAGUGAACCCUUUUUUUUUUCAAAUGCUCGUUCUCUCCAGGGUUCAGUGAAUAUUCCCAUUUGUAUCAGAUACAGAUAGAUAGUUCUGCACUUGAAAAUUAGCUUAACUUUUUUAGUUGACUUGCAUUUGUUCAAGUUGCAUAUCCUUUCUAGUGUUCAGUGUCCUCAUCUUUAAAA
rnacentral:lncRNA from 1 species